rnacentral:pre_miRNA from 1 species
AGCACAGUUGUUGGGUCAUAUGGUUACUGCCUAUUUCAUUGUUAAGGAACUAUGAGACUUUUCCAGAGUGGUUGUAUAAUUUUAUAUUCCCACCAACAAU